rnacentral:lncRNA from 1 species
GAAGGAAAUUUACGAUGAAACGAUGAACAAACUCCCAAUCAAUUUCCAAAUUACAAGUUAAGCAAACAAAUUGAUGAAGCCAUAACGAUAUUACAGUUUACUCAUGAAGAGGACUUGAAAUCUACUCCAAGGUCUCUUCCAACUUUCCAUUUACCAAUUCAAAUAUUCCUAACCAGCAUGUCAUAAUUAACCAUAACUUGUUUCAGAUUUCAAUCACCUUCCCAAUUAGUUUGUUUGUUAAAAACAAGAAUCCAAGGAAAAAAUAAUUGUUACCUUCUUCAGAAGAAAACAAAAAUCCAAGAAAAAUUUGGAGGCAAAUGUGUGCUCAUGUUUACAUUAUCAAACUCCAAACAGUGGAGGAGGAAUCAACAACGACACUUAACCUUUCCAUGAAUUCAAAUGAAAAUCAAAGCUAGAACAUGAAUGAUCUUAAGCAUAAACUGAACAGUUCUCCCACCCAAAACAUGAGAUUAAACCUGCAUGAUCAAACUCUGACAGCUCCCUCACUUGACACACCCAAACUUAUUUCAACUAGAGUUCAAAGUUCAAUACAAAUAUUGGGUUGCUUGCAGAUUUAGAACAUUUAAUCUUACCCAAAGAUUUAGGGAAUGCGAGCAAUAGAACUAAGAGUCUAAACUGACAUUUGCAAUUUAUGUUAUAGCUUUUGAACAUGGAAAACAUCAAGAGAAAAAGAAAUAAAACUAGGUAAAUAUGGAUUGCAUUUCAUCAUAUUUCACUUGAACCACAUAGUCCACAUUAACUUGUUGCUCAUAGAUAGAGAAACGCAUGAGAGGAUGAAACAACAGAAAAUACAAAAAUUACCAGUGAGCAGCAGCAGUUAGCUCGAGUUUGACCAAACAAACAGUGAACAUCACAGGAUAGACCGAUGGAACAGUAGAAAGCCUUUCAGAAAACCAAUUCCAAAACACAACUCAAACCAUUUUUUUCCUCUACUCAAUAUACAAAUUCAGUAGUUUUUCCAGAGAUUCUAAAUAAUCAGAGGACUCAAUGAGCCAAACCCAACACAACAAAAAAAUACCAAGUUCAAUCCAUUUUCCCCAGGCGAAUCAAAAUGUGUUUUAGAAAUUGAAAACCUCAGAAACCAAAGAAAAACAAAGCAAAUUUCAAUGGAACAGUGAAAAGUUUCAGUCGUCGGUGUUUCUAAGUUUUUCCCUUCAAGAUUUCUUGAAAUACAAGAAAGUGUGCCUUUCUAGGUAAUCCAUUAGGGCAGCCCAAAAAAUCAAAUGUUUCAUGUUUGACUCUUUUUACGUUUUUAUUUUUGCCUAGAUACCCCUUAGUCUAAUUUUCAGAUUUCAAAACAAUCCUUUCUCCAGCUUCCUAAUCAGUUACCCAAAGAUUUCCUUACCUAGACUACCUAAACUAACGCUUAAUGACCCUACUAUUACCCUUGGACCUCAAAUGGUUCAUGGAUCGAUGACCCAAAGGUUCAAAUCCAAGUGAAUGAAUUAGAUAAACCCAAAGCCCGAACCAAAGGGGUCAGAAAUCCAGCCAAAUCAAUGAUAAGCAGAAAAGAGAAAAAUUUGAGUGAUUAGAAAACAGAAACUGACCUAACAAGUAAUGAAUUUUAUUUAAGCCUAAAAUGCUAAAUCGAAGUGAAACCAAAGCAGCCAAUUUUACCAAAAGUCCAUCUCAAAUUAAUUAACAGAAAAGGUCAUGAUUAAUUGAAGGAAACAAAGACAACAGAAAACUAUACAAAGAAAAUUUGAAAAUCCAGCAAAACUAAAACGAACACCGCGCUAAUAAAAAAAAUUAAAAGUUAAAGCGGAUAAUUCCUAUCAACUUCCUAGUCAAGAACGGAAAAGAAAAGAAAUGAGUGGAAAGGAAAAGCAAAAGAAAAAGAGAAAACUGCAUAAACUUACUGCUCGCUUGAAACAGAAUUGAGACAUUGAUUUAGAUGAAAAGUGAUGUUACCGAGUUGUUCUUCGUGAAAAACAAAUGGACAACAUCACUUUUGCGCUUAAUCAACCUUCGAUCGUCAGAAAACAUGAGCAAGUAACCAUGCAUGACACAGAAUAGAGGAUAAUAUUUUGACUUCUUGGGGCUUCGAACUUUAUCCUUAGAUUCAACAUUCGACGGAUUGGAGGGGAGGGGGGGUUCAAGUGAUAUGGGUUAGGGGUUUGGAGAGAGGAGGUCAUAGGGGUUUCAGGGUGUUAGUUUGGAGGUUGCUUGGGGUGGUUCCGCUACCGAAGGUGAUGAGGGUUUUUAGGGCGGCUCUAGGGUUUCCAGGUCCGUCUCUGAAGAGAUGAGAUGAAGGAGAUGAUUGAGGGAGGGGGGUGCGGAGGGAGGGGUUUUGAGUAUUCAGACACAUAAAUAUCAACGGGGACCGCGGUUCCCAA